GACGAACGCUGGCGGCGUGCUUAACACAUGCAAGUCGAACGGAAAGGCCCUGCUUUUGUGGGGUGCUCGAGUGGCGAACGGGUGAGUAACACGUGAGUAACCUGCCCUUGACUUUGGGAUAACUUCAGGAAACUGGGGCUAAUACCGGAUAGGAGCUCCCGCUGCAUGGUGGGGGUUGGAAAGUUUCGGCGGUUGGGGAUGGACUCGCGGCUUAUCAGCUUGUUGGUGGGGUAGUGGCUUACCAAGGCUUUGACGGGUAGCCGGCCUGAGAGGGUGACCGGCCACAUUGGGACUGAGAUACGGCCCAGACUCCUACGGGAGGCAGCAGUGGGGAAUAUUGCACAAUGGGCGGAAGCCUGAUGCAGCAACGCCGCGUGCGGGAUGACGGCCUUCGGGUUGUAAACCGCUUUCGCCUGUGACGAAGCGUGGGUGACGGUAAUGGGUAAAGAAGCACCGGCUAACUACGUG
rnacentral:rRNA from 1 species